rnacentral:rRNA from 1 species
CACAUAUUAUACAACUGACCAAUGGAACAAAUAGUGAACUUGUUAUAUGUGAACACCUCCAGCAUAGACCAUGCGACGCCCCAUUCACCAGUGUGACUCCAAAGUCAAAAGUAGUGUACUCUUAAACAGAAGUAAGUUAAUUGGUCCCAUUUAUUCUCCCUUUCUUUUUGUGCUGGUCCUUGCUGAUAUUUCAGUGCCAUCCUUGAUCGAUCAGUGAGCAGAGAGAGCAUUUAGAUUAGUCAAAGAGUGAGCUCAGAACAGUAGCAAGAGAGCUCUCCUCACGCAAUUCUCUCCCUAUUUAUAGUUGCACUACACAUCAGGGGAGAGGAGCAACACCUGUAGAUCAUCAACUUAGUCUACACUCGUCAGUUCUGCAAUCUGAGAAAUAAAUGAACACAAGGG